AAUCCAUGAUGUGGACAUUUCCUGAUCAGAUCUUUGAACCUCUCCCAAGCCUAAUGGAGAGAUUCACUGUCCAGCUGACAAAAAAAUAUUAAUUUCUCCUUGUAGCU